UGGGGAAUAUUGGACAAUGGGCGCAAGCCUGAUCCAGCAAUGCCGCGUGUGUGAAGAAGGCCUUCGGGUUGUAAAGCACUUUUAUCAGGAGCGAAACGCUGUCGGCUAAUACCCGGCGGAACUGACGGUACCUGAGGAAUAAGCACCGGCUAACUUCGUGCCAGCAGCCGCGGUAAUACGAAGGGUGCAAGCGUUAAUCGGAAUUACUGGGCGUAAAGCGUGCGUAGGCGGUUUCUUAAGUCUGCUGUGAAAUCCCCGGGCUCAACCUGGGAAUGGCAGUGGAUACUGGGAGGCUAGAGUGUGUCAGAGGGUGGUGGAAUUCCCGGUGUAGCGGUGAAAUGCGUAGAGAUCGGGAGGAACAUCAGUGGCGAAGGCGGCCACCUGGGGACAACACUGACGCUGAGGCACGAAAAGCGUGGGGGAGCAAACAGGAUUAGAUACCCUGGUAGUCCACGCCCUAAACGAUGCGAACUGGAUGUUGGUCUCAACUCGGAGAUCAGUGUCGAAGCUAACGCGUUAAGUUCGCCGCCUGGGGAGUACGGUCGCAAGACUGAAACUUAAAGGAAUUGACGGGGUCAUAGCUGA
rnacentral:rRNA from 1 species